CGGGGUGCACCAGGCGCGAAAACUUUACAAUGCGGGAAACUGUGAUAAGGGAACUCCGAGUGCCCGUUAAAUCGGGCUGUUCACCAGUUUAAACAACUGGUGAAGAAAGGGCCGGGCAAGACCGGUGCCAGCCGCCGCGGUAAUACCGGCGGCUCGAGUGGUGGCCACUAUUACUGGGCUUAAAGCGUUCGUAGCUGGUUUGUUAAGUCUCUGGGGAAAUCUACCGGCUUAACCGGUAGGCGUCUCAGGGAUACUGGCAGACUAGGGACCGGGAGAGGUGAGAGGUACUCCAGGGGUAGGAGUGAAAUCCUGUAAUCCUUGGGGGACCACCUGUGGCGAAGGCGUCUCACCAGAACGGCUCCGACAGUGAGGGACGAAAGCUGGGGGAGCAAACCGGAUUAGAUACCCGGGUAGUCCCAGCUGUAAACGAUGCGCGUUAGGUGUAUCGGUGACCACGAGUCACCGAGGUGCCGAAGAGAAAUCGUGACACUCGCCGCCUCGGAAGUACG
rnacentral:rRNA from 1 species